rnacentral:rRNA from 1 species
AGGCAGCAGUGGGGGAAUAUUGCACAAUGGGCGCAAGCCUGAUGCAGCCAUGCCGCGUGUAUGAAGAAGGCCUUACGGGUUGUAAAGUACGUUUCAGCAGUGAGGAAGGUGGGGUAUGUUAAUAGCAUAUUCAUUUGACGUUAGCUGCAGAAGAAGCACCGGCUAACUCCGUGCCAGCAGCCGCGGUAAUACGGAGGGUGCGAGCGUUAAUCGGAAUUACUGGGCGUAAAGCGCAUGCAGGUGGUUUGUUAAGUCAGAUGUGAAAGCCCCGGGGCUCAACCUCGGAAUUGCAUUUGAAACUGGCAAACUAGAGUACUGUAGAGGGGGGUAGAAUUUCAGGUGUAGCGGUGAAAAUGCGUAGAGAUCUGAAGGAAUACCGGUGGCGAAGGCGGCCCCCUCGGACAGAUACUGACACUCAGAUGCGAAAGCGUGGGGGAGCAAACAGGAUUAGAUACCCCUGGGUAG